CGCUUAGGUUAUCCAUUCGCCCCCCGCAGUAUCCCUAUAUCAGAGUACUCUACUACAUAUGAUUGCAGCACUCCAGAUAAACACACACAUACACACGCAUACAAAUACUACUCUAUGUAUAUAUAUAUAUAUGGUCCAAUUAGUAAAGUUAUAUAAGGGAGACUGAUCGAGAAAAAUCGAACAAUGAGUAAGCGUACAGCACAUAUAAAAGUAUUUUAAAAAAAACUACGGAGAGUAAGUACUUUAAUAAUUGCACGUGAAGAUACAAUAAGGGUUACGAUAAUAAUUUAUCAUCAACCUAACUGAAAAAUAAUUUUAUAUAGAGUUCUAUACGAUUUCGGCUUUUGGAACGUACAAGUCUAUUGACGAUAUUUUACCAUGGCGUUUAAAGUUUAAAUUAAAUUACAUUCGUAUAUUAUUAAUAUUGUUAUUAUUAUUAUUAUUAUAUUAUCGCAAAGACGUGAUUAUCUUUAUUUUUCAUUC